AAAAAACCCACGCACGUUUGACACUUCAAAUGUAAAUAGUUUGUAGCCUGAAUGCUUAAAGACUGGUGUGUGCAUGCAUAAUGUGAUUUGUUUUUCAAGUGCACUGUUAGUUUGUGAUCUGUCAAUUCAGUGCGUGCAGAUUGUGUAUAGCAGACAAGUAAAAUGUGGUCCUGUCAGCCCAAGACUUCAAAAACAGUCUGAGAUACAGGUUCUUAGGAAGACAAAGGUAGUGAAAGGGUCCAAGACUGGUUAUAAGCAAGCAAGUGAGCUAGGAGAACAUAUCCUCUUACUUCUCCUCAGCCAGGCCUCCUCGCAGAGCUGCAUGAAGAGUGUGACACGAAGUUGCUUGGGGAAAAGGGACGGUGCAGAGGAAGACAGCUCAGACCAUCAUCGUGCCAAAUCCCAAGAGGAAAUCAUGGCUGGAAUACAAUUACUGCCAGUGAUCCACAUCUUUGCCUCUGCAGACCUGGCAUGUGCAGGAAAUGCAGCGCAUAUGGCAAAUGGAAUCACCUGGAGCUAG
rnacentral:lncRNA from 1 species